UUUUCCAAAGUGUUGUAGUACACCUAUGAGGAGAUCAUUGAUGUGUGAAGUAAUGUUGGUGGUACUACACUGUAUAAUACUGAAGUUAUUGAAUAUUUUUCUCUUUUUGGCGUUGCACUUCGGCACGGUCCCUGACAACUCGUCUUACAGCCGGCUGCAGAUAGAGACCGAUGUGUCCAGCUCAGAGGACGGCUCGUUGUGAUUAAAAUGAGGUUGUAGCUCAUUGUCUACCGUACUACGGUUAGAAAGAGUCCUCGUUUAUGUUUUAACAACAUUUCUGUUAUGUGUUAUUGAUCC